GACGAACGCUGGUGGCGUGCCUAAUACAUGCAAGUAGAACGCUGAAGGAGGAGCUUGCUUCUCUGGAUGAGUUGCGAACGGGUGAGUAACGCGUAGGUAACCUGCCUGGUAGCGGGGGAUAACUAUUGGAAACGAUAGCUAAUACCGCAUAAUAGUAGAUGUUGCAUGACAUUUGCUUAAAAGGUGCAAUUGCAUCACUACCAGAUGGACCUGCGUUGUAUUAGCUAGUUGGUGGGGUAACGGCUCACCAAGGCAACGAUACAUAGCCGACCUGAGAGGGUGAUCGGCCACACUGGGACUGAGACACGGCCCAGACUCCUACGGGAGGCAGCAGUAGGGAAUCUUCGGCAAUGGACGGAAGUCUGACCGAGCAACGCCGCGUGAGUGAAGAAGGUUUUCGGAUCGUAAAGCUCUGUUGUAAGAGAAGAACGAGUGUGAGAGUGGAAAGUUCACACUGUGACGGUAUCUUACCAGAAAGGGACGGCUAACUACGUGCCAGCAGCCGCGGUAAUACGUAGGUCCCGAGCGUUGUCCGGAUUUAUUGGGCGUAAAGCGAGCGCAGGCGGUUAGAUAAGUCUGAAGUUAAAGGCUGUGGCUUAACCAUAGUACGCUUUGGAAACUGUUUAACUUGAGUGCAAGAGGGGAGAGUGGAAUUCCAUGUGUAGCGGUGAAAUGCGUAGAUAUAUGGAGGAACACCGGUGGCGAAAGCGGCUCUCUGGCUUGUAACUGACGCUGAGGCUCGAAAGCGUGGGGAGCAAACAGG
rnacentral:rRNA from 1 species